rnacentral:rRNA from 1 species
AGAGUUUGAUCCUGGCUCAGGAUGAACGCUGGCGGCGUGCCUAACACAUGCAAGUCGAACGGGGCGCGCCGGCGGGGGCCCUCCGGGGCUGAAGCCGGCGCCGCCCAGUGGCGGACGGGUGAGUAACGCGUGGGCAACCUGCCCCGCACUGGGGGACAACAGCCGGAAACGGCUGCUAAUACCGCAUGGGCGCACAGCCCCGCAUGGGGCGGUGCGGAAAGCCUUGGCGGUGCGGGAUGGGCCCGCGUCUGAUUAGCUUGUUGGCGGGGCAACGGCCCACCAAGGCGACGAUCAGUAGCCGGCCUGAGAGGGUGGGCGGCCACAUUGGGACUGAGACACGGCCCAAACUCCUACGGGAGGCAGCAGUGGGGGAUAUUGCACAAUGGGGGGAACCCUGAUGCAGCGACGCCGCGUGGGCGAUGGAGCGCCUCGGCGCGUAAAGCCCUAUCAGCAGGGAAGAAAAUGACGGUACCUGACUAAGAAGCCCCGGCUAAAUACGUGCCAGCAGCCGCGGUAAUACGUAUGGGGCAAGCGUUAUCCGGAUUUACUGGGUGUAAAGGGAGCGCAGGCGGCCUGGCAAGCCUGAUGUGAAAUACCGGGGCCCAACCCCGGGGCUGCAUUGGGAACUGCCAGGCUGGAGUGCCGGAGAGGCAGGCGGAAUUCCUAGUGUAGCGGUGAAAUGCGUAGAUAUUAGGAGGAACACCAGUGGCGAAGGCGGCCUGCUGGACGGUGACUGACGCUGAGGCUCGAAAGCGUGGGGAGCAAACAGGAUUAGAUACCCUGGUAGUCCACGCUGUAAACGA